AAUUAGGAGAGUUUGAUCCUGGCUCAGAACGAACGCUGGCGGCACGCCUAACACAUGCAAGUCGAACGGCAGCGGGUCCUUCGGGAUGCCGGCGAGUGGCGAACGGGUGAGUAAUACGUGGAAACCUAUCCCUGGGUGGGGGACAACAGCUGGCCUACUCCGCGUUCGCUCGCCGCUACUAACGGAAUCUAUUAAUCUAACAAAGAACCCGUAAGC
rnacentral:rRNA from 1 species